rnacentral:rRNA from 1 species
AUUGAACGCUGGCGGCAGGCCUAACACAUGCAAGUCGACCGAGUGGCGGACGGGUGAGUAAUGUCUGGGAAACUGCCUGAUGGAGGGGGAUAACUACUGGAAACGGUAGCUAAUACCGCAUACCAUCGGAUGUGCCCAGAUGGGCUUAGCUAGUAGGUGGGGUAAAGGCUCACCUAGGCGACGAUCCCUAGCUGGUCUGAGAGGAUGACCGGCCAAACGGGAACUGAUACACGGUCCAGACUGCUACGGGAGGCAGAAGUGGGGAAUAUUGCACAAGGGGCGCAAGCCUGAUGCAGCCAGGCCGCGGGUAUGAAGAAGGCCUUCGGGUUGUAAAGGACUUGCAGCGGGGAGGCGUUACCCGCAGAAGAAGCACCGGCUAACUCCGGGCCAGCAGCCGCGGGAAUAC